rnacentral:rRNA from 1 species
GAUGAACGCUGGCGGCGUGCCUAAUACAUGCAAGUCGAGCGAACGGACGAGAAGCUUGCUUUUCUGAUGUUAGCGGCGGACGGGUGAGUAACACGUGGAUAACCUACCUAUAAGACUGGGAUAACUUCGGGAAACCGGAGCUAAUACCGGAUAAUAUUUUGAACCGCAUGGUUCAAAAGUGAAAGACGGUCUUGCUGUCACUUAUAGAUGGAUCCGCGCUGCAUUAGCUAGUUGGUAAGGUAACGGCUUACCAAGGCAACGAUGUAUAGCCGACCUGAGAGGGUGAUCGGCCACACUGGAACUGAGACACGGUCCAGACUCUUACGGGAGGCAGCAGCAGGGAAUCUUCCGCAAUGGGCGAAAGCCUGACGGAGCAACGCCGCGUGAGUGAUGAAGGUCUUCGGAUCGUAAAACUCUGUUAUUAGGGAAGAACAUAUGUGUAAGUAACUGUGCACAUCUUGACGGUACCUAAUCAGAAAGCCACGGCUAACUACGUG